UAAUUCGAUGCAACGCGAAGAACCUUACCUACCCUUGACAUCUAAAGAAUCCCGAUGAGAGUUGGGAGUGCCGAAAGGAGCUUUAAGACAGGUGCUGCAUGGCUGUCGUCAGCUCGUGUUGUGAGAUGUUGGGUUAAGUCCCGUAACGAGCGCAACCCUUGCCCUUAGUUGCCAGCGAGUAAAGUCGGGGACUCUAAGGGGACCGCCGGUGAUGAACCGGAGGAAGGCGGGGACGACGUCAAGUCAUCAUGGCCUUUAUGGGUAGGGCUACACACGUGCUACAAUGGGGCGUACAGAGGGUCGCCAACCCGCGAGGGGGAGCCAAUCUCUUAAAGCGUCUCGUAGUCCGGAUUGGAGUCUGCAACUCGACCCCAUGAAGUCGGAAUCGCUAGUAAUCGCGAAUCAGCAGUGUCGCGGUGAAUACGUUCCCGGGCCAUUGUACACACCGCC
rnacentral:rRNA from 1 species